rnacentral:rRNA from 1 species
AGCUCCAAUAGCGUAUAUUAAAAUUGUUGCGGUUAAAAAGCUCGUAGUUGGAUUUCUGCCGAGGACGACCGGUCCGCCCUCUGGGUGAGUAUCUGGCUUGGCCUUGGCAUCUUCUUGGAGAACGUAGCUGCACUUGAUUGUGUGGUGCGGUAUCCAGGACUUUCACUUUGAGGAAAUUAGAGUGCUUCAAGCAGGCAUGCGCCUUGAAUACACUAGCAUGGAACAAUAAGAUAGGAUGUCGGUUCUAUUUAGUUGGUUUCUAGAGCUGAGGUAAUGAUUAAUAGGGAUAGUUGGGGGCAUUCGUAUUUAACUGUCAGAGGUGAAAUUCCUGGAUUUGUUAAAGACGGACUGCUGUGAAAGCAUUUGCCAAGGAUGUUUUCA